CUCUACUCUAGUGACUUCUAAUUAUGUGAUUUAUGAUCCCCUCAAAUCUAGCUCCUCUCCAAGGUGGAAAUUGAGGAGUUCUUAAAAUUUUCAAAGUACACCCUCUUUAGCCAUUAUUCAAGGAACCAGAAGUCAUUUCAACUUAAUUGUGAAAGAGAGGAAAAGGUGGCCAGGAAAAAAAAAAGCAAAAAAGCUCCAGAUUACAGUCUUUGGCUUUCCUCUGGGGUGACUAGGAUCAUCACAUGGAUUUUGAAGAGGCUGGAACUCUCCAAUAUUCUACUAAUUUGACUAUCAGAAAUUCAGAGGAUUCAGCUGUUUGCAGAAGAGCUCUGAGUUGAAGAAAAUGGAGAAUUCUGCAAAUAGUCCAUAAUCAGAUACUAUUAUUAUUGAAGCUACUACUUGAAUGGAAAAUGAAGAAAUUCAUCAAUUUGGCUUUGUCAUUCCAGAUAAUUUGUUGUAAUCAGAUAACAGAUAAUUUAAAAAGAAAAUGGGGAAUUGGGCUGAA
rnacentral:lncRNA from 1 species